GCCCACUCGGCUCCCUUAGGCCCCUCAGAUCCUUCGGCCCCUCGCCGCCGUAGUUCCCUCUGGUGAUGGCGGGGGAAGGAGGUGUGUGCCGCUUCCCCGGUGUUGAAGGGUCCCCAGGGCUCGGGCCCGCCAGGCCUACGGUGAGAACCUCGUGGCCGGUUUGUAGCCAAAGCAGCUAGCUCAGGAAGCAGAGAGAGGUCAUGCUUACCCCAAGCGCCUGGAGAGAGGGCAGCCAUCUGCUGCCACGGGGACCUGGAGCGGUGGCCUAGGAGGUUGUGUGCAAGUGAUAAAGAAGAGACACCAUGCAAUUACCCAGCUGUACUUAUACCAUUAGGGAAUUCUUUCUGGAUCACAGGAUCUGAUGGAAGCUCAUCUUCAAGACAGGUCUCAGCCCAUACCUGCAGUUCUGCAUCCAGAAGAACAUCCACAAUGACACAGUUCCUGCUGCUAGAUUAUUGCUGCACCCAAGACUUCUUAAAUUAGCCCCAGCUGGGCUAUCUGGGACCUACUGGCUGCCGGUGGAGAGCAGCAGGCUGCAUCAGGAACAGUCACAGCUCCUCCAUCACAUGCUGCUGAACUGAAAACCAGCACUCAGGCAAGAGAAGGGUGGUGGCAAACUCAGGUUCCCUUUCCUCUCAUAGGAAAGUAACCCGUACUCAGUUUCAGCUGGGUGAAAGCCAUGGUUUAACACCCACUUUGCAAAGAAACACCUACAUUUCUACAAACAAUAAUGGGCAAACUCCCUUUUAAAUUUGGAAGAAGACCCCAUAGUCAUCUGGAAGUAAACUAUUGUUUUUCACCACAUGUGGCUUCUACUUUCUCCUGAUAAAAAUCCUGGUGCAGGAGAAGAACUGGAAGAAUCCCAUUAUAAAGAGAUUUGGAAGGAAUGCUGGUUUUCACACCCAGUAAAUCAUGGAUUUUUUUUUUUGCUUAUAAAAAGGAACAAAAGGAGUCACUCUUAUGCUGUGCACUUCCUUAGUUUCCCUCUUCUGGAAAACCCUAUCAAAGAGGAAUGAAUGAUAUGCUUUAAGGGUGCACUUGAUUAGCAUCAUUAGAGAAGCAAUUCUGCCUUCCUGCUUUCUUCUGAGGCAGCACCUAUCACCUGGCUUGGCCUGCCUUUGCACGUCACACUUUGGGCAGUGAGAAUGUGGGCGAGCUGGAUACAGGAAAGACUGGAUCACCUUAUAUUCUAGUAACAUCCUGCCUUUCAACCUCCUUUCUAAUAGAAAGCAUACAAAUUGCUCCAUGUUUCCAGUGAAGUGUGUGUGUGAAAAAUCCCAGUCCUGGGAAAAGCACUAAUUAAUGCCAGAGAAAUCUGCAGAGUGGGACCCUGCAGAGUGGGAGUAGCUAAAUGAGGGUAAACUGAGUAUUAAGCUUGAAAGUAUUACUUUAUGUCUACUGAUUACAGCCUGGCCAGCAGUUCAUGCUUGU